rnacentral:lncRNA from 1 species
UCUAUCCUUUCCUAUCUAUACUCUAUUUCUAGGUCUUGUUCUCCACCUUUGUUCAUUGAGUAUAUUAUUUAGUCUCUUUUGUCCCCUGGAUAAAUUCCCAGAGGGUAUUUUUUUCUUUCCCUCAUUGUUGUUGUAAGAGUGAAAAGGAAAAAAAAAAAAAAAAAAAGCAAAAGGGCAUAUCAGUAUUGCUAAGGUCAUCCAGGGAUAGUUUUCUCCUCCUUCUUCUGCAGGAAGUUAGGGUGGGAUGGGUGUGGCCAGUACAGGCAACAUUUUUGCCCAUCCAUUGAAACUCCAAAGCUGGCCAUCUUGUUUCUCUUAAGUGUGGAUGUUAAGAGUUUUGGAACCCAAAGGAUUUAACAGUCACUGUUUCAUCUUCUCAGAUGUUCUUUCACUGGAUGGGUAUAUUCAAAUGCAGCCAACUAUAUACUACAAAAUUAUUUGUUUAAUCCAUUCACUAUUUUCAAGUUGUACGGAUCCAUAAGAAGCAAGGUACUUCUAAUUGUUUGCUACUUACAUAAGAACAUGUAUUAGCCAACGGAGAUGAAAAGAAUCUCCCUUUUGUCCUACCCUACGUGGCUUCUUAUAUGCGGAGAUGGCCUUCUUCUCAACUCACUUGAAGAUCCAAGGAUGAAUACAUACUCCUGUCUUUCACGACACCCCGAGAUAUACUGUGUCCCAAUGCCAUAAAAAUCAAUACUUUCUAUUAAGGAAAUAAGAGGCGAAGUCAAGAACUACAUUGUCCUGACUCAUUAUGCUGGAAAAGAGAAUGUUCUUCAGUGCCUAUGGAAACAAGUCAUUUGGGCUCUGGAAGUUCCUCAGCCUGCCCAGUUUAUCAGACAAUCUUACAUGUUGUGGUUAAUUAGAAUCAAAUUAUUUAAAUAGUAAGAUAUUGCUGUUGGUUCUAUGCUUCAGAUUCAUAUUUGUAUAAAAGUGAUUUUGUGAACAGGCCUGGGAACUUAAUAUGGAAUAUUAUUCCUACGGGGAAAUGUAUUCCAAAUUUCAAACUGCCUUCCAAAUUAAUUUGUGCUGUGAACUGGAUUUGCAAAUUAGAGACUUGCAAGUAUAGAAUAUGCCUUAGU